UACGUAGGGCGCAAGCGUUGUCCGGAAUUAUUGGGCGUAAAGAGCUCGUAGGCGGUCUGUUGCGUCUGCUGUGAAAACUCGGGGCUUAACCCCGAGCCUGCAGUGGAUACGGGCAGACUAGAGGUAGGUAGGGGAGAAUGGAAUUCCCGGUGUAGCGGUGAAAUGCGCAGAUAUCAGGAGGAACACCGAUGGCGAAGGCAGGUCUCUGGGCCACUACUGACGCUGAGAAGCGAAAGCAUGGGGAGCGAACAGG
rnacentral:rRNA from 1 species